rnacentral:lncRNA from 9 species
CGAGCAGGUCCUCGGAUACGCGCGCACGUGCAGAGGCUGGGAGAGCAGAGUGCCGGAGUGUCACGGAGUGUUAAUUUCCAGAUUACUCCUACUUUCUCAGCCAGCUCAUGGUGCUGGAGACUCAUCCAUAGACUUGAUUCAAUGUGUUGGGGUUCUGCAAUGGUGUUAUCAUGUGAACAGAGAGCAGGUGCUGUCUGAGAAGACUUCCUGGAGGAACUGAACUCUGAUCAGGGCUGGAGACACACCAAAGGCUCCUCUCCAGAGGCUUCUUACUGCAGACGUUCCACAGAAACAUCAAUAAUCAAGAGCUCAUUGAGGCAAUCUGGUUUUCCCAAUUGUUGCUUGCCUUUGACCAGACACUGCUAAUGACAAAUGACAAUGGGGCUGUCGAUGAGCAGGAAAUAGAAGCCAUAGCAAAGAGAGCACACUUUUCUGGGAGGAGGACAGUGUUUCCUGUUUUGCUUAUCUCAUGGGACUGAUGUGGGG